AGCGAACGUUUGCGGCGGGCCUAACACAUGCAAGUCGAACGAGAACUUCCUCUUCGGAGGGAGGGACAGUGGCGCACGGGUGCGUAACACGUGGGUAAUCAACCCUCUAGACCGGGACAACCCAGGGAAACUUGGGCUAAUACCGGAUGUGACGGCGAGGUCUUCGGGCCAUGUCGUGAAAGGAGUAAUCCGUUAGAGGACGAGCCCGCGGCCCAUCAGCUUGUUGGCGAGGUAAUGGCUCACCAAGGCUAAGACGGGUAGCUGGUCUGAGAGGAUGAUCAGCCACACUGGAACUGAGACACGGUCCAGACUCCUACGGGAGGCAGCAGUGGGGAAUAUUGCGCAAUGGGCGAAAGCCUGACGCAGCCACGCCGCGUGUGCGAUGAAGGUCUUCGGAUCGUAAAGCACUGUGGAGGGAGAAGAAAACUGACGGUAUCCCUUUAGCAAGCACCGGCUAACUCCG
rnacentral:rRNA from 1 species